AUUGAACGCUAGCGGCAGGCCUAACACAUGCAAGUCGAACGAGUGGCGGACGGGUGAGUAAUGUAUGGGAACGUGCCUAGUAGCGGGGGAUAACUACUCGAAACAGUGGCUAAUACCGCAUACCAUCGGAUGUGCCCAUAUUGGAUUAGCUAGUUGGUGGGGUAAAGGCUCACCAAGGCAACGAUCCCUAGCUGGUUUGAGAGGAUGACCAGCCACACUGGGACUGAGACACGGCCCAGACUCCUACGGGAGGCAGCAGUGGGGAAUAUUGGACAAUGGGCGAAAGCCUGAUGCAGCCAUCCCGCGUGUAUGAAGAAGGCCUUCGGGUUGUAAAGUACUUUCAGCGGGGAAGCGGUAUCUGCAGAAUAAGCACCGGCUAACUCCGUGCCAGCAGCCGCGGUAAUUC
rnacentral:rRNA from 1 species